CCUACGGGAGGCAGCAGUGAGGAAUAUUGGUCAAUGGACGCGAGUCUGAACCAGCCAAGUCGCGUGAAGGAUGACUGUCCUAUGGGUUGUAAACUUCUUUUAUCUGGGAAUAAAACGUUCCACGUGUGGGGUUUUGUAUGUACCAUAUGAAUAAGGAUCGGCUAACUCCGUGCCAGCCGCCGCGGUAAUACGGAGGAUCCGAGCGUUAUCCGGAAUUAUUGGGUUUAAAGGGAGCGUAGGUGGAUUGGUAAGUCAGUUGUGAAAGUUUGCGGGUCAACCGUAAAAUUGCAGUUGAAACUGGCAGUCUUGAGUACAGUAGAGGUAGGCGGAAUGCGUGGUGUAGCGGUGAAAUGCUUAGAUAUCACGAAGAACUCCGAUUGCGAAGGCAGUUCACUGGACUGCAACUGACACUGAGGCUCGAAAGUGUGGGGAUCAAACAGGAUUAGAUACCCGAGUAGUC
rnacentral:rRNA from 1 species